CGUAGGAUGCAAGCGUUGUCCGGAUUUAUUGGGCGUAAAGAGAACGUAGGUGGUUUCUUAAGUUUGGUCUUAAAGACCGGGGCUCAACCCCGGGAAUGGACUGAAUACUGGGAGACUAGAGGAUGUUAGAGGAAAGUGGAAUUCCAAGUGUAGCGGUGAAAUGCGUAGAUGUUUGGAGGAACACCAGUGGCGAAAGCGGCUUUCUGGGACAUUCCUGACACUGAGGUUCGAAAGCUCGGGGAGCAAACAGGAUUAGAUACCCUGGUAGUCCGAGCCGUAAACGAUGGACACUGGGUGUCAUGGGUAUCGACCCCCGUGGUGCCGUAGCUAACGCGUUAAGUGUCCCGCCUGGGGAGUACGGUCGCAAGACUG
rnacentral:rRNA from 1 species